rnacentral:tRNA from 1 species
GCCCAGAUGGUGGAAGUGGCAGACACAGCGAGCUUAAAACUCGCCGCCUCGAUCGGGGCGUAUCAGUUCGAAUCUGAUUCUGGGCA